rnacentral:rRNA from 1 species
UACAGAGGUCUCAAGCGUUGUUCGGAUUCAUUGGGCGUAAAGGGUGCGUAGGUGGCGCUGUAAGUCAGGUGUGAAAUUUCGGAGCUCAACUUCGAAACUGCAUUUGAUACUGCGGUGCUUGAGGACUGGAGAGGAGACUGGAAUUUACGGUGUAGCGGUGAAAUGCGUAGAUAUCGUAAGGAAGACCAGUGGCGAAGGCGGGUCUCUGGACAGUUCCUGACGCUGAGGCACGAAGGUCAGGGGAGCAAACGGG